rnacentral:tRNA from 1 species
GGUGUUGUGGCUCAGCAGUAGAGCGCUCACCUCACAUGUGCGAGAUGCUGGGUUCAAUCCUCAGCACCA